GAUGAACGCUGGCGGCGUGCCUAAUACAUGCAAGUCGAGCGAACAGACGAGGAGCUUGCUCCUCUGACGUUAGCGGCGGACGGGUGAGUAACACGUGGAUAACCUACCUAUAAGACUGGGAUAACUUCGGGAAACCGGAGCUAAUACCGGAUAAUAUAUUGAACCGCAUGGUUCAAUAGUGAAAGACGGUUUUGCUUUCACUUAUAGAUGGAUCCGCGCCGCAUUAGCUAGUUGGUAAGGUAACGGCUUACCAAGGCAACGAUGCGUAGCCGACCUGAGAGGGUGAUCGGCCACACUGGAACUGAGACACGGUACAGACUCCUACGGGAGGCAGCAGUAGGGAAUCUUCCGCAAUGGGCGAAAGCCUGACGGAGCAACGCCGCGUGAGUGAUGAAGGUCUUCGGAUCGUAAAACUCUGUUAUUAGGGAAGAACAAAUGUGUAAGUAACUAUGCACGUCUUGACGGUACCUAAUCAGAAAGCCACGGCUAACUACGUG
rnacentral:rRNA from 1 species